rnacentral:rRNA from 1 species
UAACCGACGAAGGGAGGCUACGCCGGCGACGGUAGGUCAGCGACUGGGGUG